GGACAGGUGUCCGAGCGGUUUAAGGAGCACGGUUGGAAGCCGUGUGUAGUCGAAAGGCUACCGUGGGUUCGAAUCCCACCCUGUCCGCCA
rnacentral:tRNA from 2 species